AGCGAACGCUGGCGGCAGGCCUAACACAUGCAAGUCGAACGAACCCUUCGGGGUUAGUGGCGGACGGGUGAGUAACACGUGGGAACGUGCCUUUAGGUUCGGAAUAACUCAGGGAAACUUGUGCUAAUACCGAAUGUGCCCUUCGGGGGAAAGAUUUAUCGCCUUUAGAGCGGCCCGCGUCUGAUUAGCUAGUUGGUGAGGUAAAGGCUCACCAAGGCUACGAUCAGUAGCUGGUCUGAGAGGAUGACCAGCCACAUUGGGACUGAGGCACGGCCCAAACUCCUACGGGAGGCAGCAGUGGGGAAUCUUGCGCAAUGGGCGAAAGCCUGACGCAGCCAUGCCGCGUGGAUGAUGAAGGUCUUAGGAUUGUAAAAUCCUUUCACCGGUGAAGAUAAUGACUGUACCCGGAGAAGAAGCCCCGGCUAACUUCGUGCCAGCAGCCGCCGUAAUAC
rnacentral:rRNA from 1 species